UUGGCAGAGGCUUAGAAACCUGACAAAUUGUUGGCUAUAAAACAGAUUUGCCCACGGAUGAAAUAUCUUUGUGGCCAAACCCUCCCUCCUAUAAAUCAGGAGCACCAGUGCUUGUUUAAGUGACAAAUUUUAGAACUCAGCGGGGGAAAAUGAAGUCACUGACUGAUGGCAAAGCACUUGUUCCUCUGCCUUUUACCCCAGGAAUUCCAGGCAGCCCGAGCACCCCAAACAGCCCAGCAAGCCCUGAGGAAUGGCCUUGAAAGGCUCGCAGUAAUUUGCUGUUUGUGAGGAGCCUGGAGAUGACAGCAGUGAUUGCCUUAAUGAGUCAAUUAAGGGCCAGGUAAUUUGGGUGGGCUGGGGCUGCCAAUUGAGCAGCCCCCCUGGGAAAGGGGCUCUCACACCAGUAAGAAAGGGGAUCCCAAACCAGUAAGAGCCUGGCUGGGCUGCUGGGGCAGCAGAGGAGCUCUGGCAGAGACAUGGGAGUACCUGCUGGAAGAGGAGAUAAUUCACCAACCUGAGCGUCCUGACCACGCUGAACUCACUUGCACAUUUUGAAUUUGUGGAUAAUUUACAUGGAAGGUGGGCAAACUUCUGGAAAGGCUUGUUCCAGUCUGAGAACUCCACGUUCCCAGGGAAUGAAGAUUUCAUUCAAGAGUGCUGCAAUUCAAGCCUGUUCCAGACAGAUUCUUUGGUCUGCUGUGCAGAAAUUGAGUAUCUCGUGUAAAACUUCAUUUGAGGGACUUGACAAACUGUACAGGAGGAAAAAAAAAUGCAGGAUGGAUGGGCUGCUAGCUCGGGAUGAACGCUGCUGCUGCUGCUGUGUACAGAGGCAGAUCGUGCCUGGGGUUUGCUGUUAGGGGAAGUGUUUGAUUUGAUUUAAGCACAAGAUAAGAUAAGCACGUUGGAAAUGGAGCUAUCGAUGGCGGGGCUAUAAUUUACAAAAUUGCAGCAUUUUCUUUAUUGAAGCUCUGAAAAAUAAAGCAGCAUCAAAGCUCACAGCUGGCUGUUUGAGGAAGACUAUUUCCCUCUUCCUAAACAUCCAAUAUACAUGAAAAGGGAUUUAAGUGCUGAGGAAUUAUUUUAAAAAAAUAAGUAAAAAUAAAAAAACAGGUUGCUAUUUCUUCAGCUGGACAGCUCAGGUAAUUCUGGAUUAUUUCAGGAGAGAUGAUGGUGCCUAGAAGUGAAACUUGGAUCUCCUGGCUUCUAGAACAGGGUGGUUUUCUUGAGAAUAGUAAGUCCCUGAAAUGCUGAAAUAUGGCUAAAAUGAAAAAAGGAAGGCCCCCAAGAAUUUGGUUUGGGGUUGGAUAAGAUCCAUUUUAUGGGAAAAAGAGCACAUGAACUUGACAUUUCUGAAUUCUCCUGAGCUGUGGCCCAUCCCAAACCCAUCUUCCUGAGAUGCUGGCUGUGUGGGAGAAGAGCAGCUGAGUUCUCUGAGACAGAACCUUCACCUGCCACUCCUGCUCUGUGCCCAUUGGUGUGAGGAGCUGUUCCGUGGAGGGGAGAUUUAUUCACAGAAUCACAGAAUCUCCAGGUUGGGAGAAUCUUCAGGAUCAUCGAGUCCAACCCAGCCCCAACAGCUCAACUAAACCCUGGCACCCAGUGCCACGUGCAGGCUUUUUUUAAACACAUCCAAGGAUGAUGAUUCCACCACCUCCACAGGCAGCCAUCCCAGAACUUUAUCACUCUUUCUGUAAAAAACUUUUUCCUAAUAUCUAACCUAAAUUUCCUUUGGUGCAGCUUGAGACCAUCCUCCCAUCCCUGAUCCCUCCCUUAUUUCCCCAGGACUGGACACCUGAGGCAAGGAGCUGCUGAGCCUUUCUGGGAGGAGGAUCCUGGGCUCUGGGAGCUGCUGAGCCUUUCUGGGAGGAGGGUCCUGGGCUCUGGAGCUGCUGAGCCUCUCUGGGAGGAGGGUCCUGGGCUCUGGAGCUGCUGAGCCUUUCUGGGAGGAGGAUCCUGGGCUCUGGAGCUGCUGAGCCUUUCUGGGAGGAGGAUCCUGGGCUCUGGAGCUGCUGAGCCUUUCUGGGAGGAGGGUCCUGGGCUCUGGGAGCUGCUGAGCCUUUCUGGGAGGAGGGUCCUGGGCUCUGGGAGCUGCUGAGCCUUUCUGGGAGGAGGGUCCUGGGCUCUGGGAGCUGCUGAGCCUUUCUGGGAGGAGGAUCCUGGGCUCUGGGAGCUGCUGAGCCUUUCUGGGAGGAGGGUCCUGGGCUCUGGAGCUGCUGAGCCUUUCUGGGAGGAGGAUCCUGGGCUCUGGAGCUGCUGAGCCUUUCUGGGAGGAGGAUCCUGGGCUCUGGGCAGGCUCUGGAGCUGCUGAGCCUCGCCUGGCUCUGCUUUCCCAGCCCUUUUCCCGCAGAACCAGCAGCAGCUUGGCUGUAAUUGCUCACUGCUCUCCAUUAGUGCCUCUCCCUCCUGGCAGCUCUUUAAUAGUUUACAUCUCUCGGGGUUGGGAAAUUACUGGUUUAAUUAAAACAAUUUGUUUCAAAUGGGGCUCCCAAAUCCCCACAUGAUGUUUUAGGAGCCUUGGGCGAAGAGCUGGAAAUGGAGAGUAGCAAUUGUGGGGAGGGUUUAGAGGGAGGCUGGAAGGAGGAGUUGGGAUUUUUGCUAAUUUUUGAGGCCUGGACUGGGAGUGGGGGGAGCAAAAUUCUGUAGGACUGAGAUUUUGUCUUCCAAACAUUAAAAUAAUUCACCAUGGGCAAGUCUUUGCUGGGUUUGGACAAUGCUCCCAGCACAGGGUGGGAUUUUGGGGAGUCCUGUGCAGGGUCAGGAGCUGGACUGGAUUGUCCCUGUGGUCCCAGCUCAGGAUUUUCCACGAUUCUGUGAGGUUUAGUUGGACCUUGUUUGUUUUGUGAUUGAGAGAAGAUAUUCUUUUUCUGGUGAAGGAAAGGAGAGAGCCCACAAAAGGGACCUUGGACACCUGAAUGGCACAAGAAUGCACUUUGGAAGUGGGAUUGGAGGGGCAACAGCCAGCAGUGGUGUGCACAGGGUGGGAGUGAAGGUGGCAGGGCCAGGCAGGAGAACCGCUGGAAUAUCCUCAGCUGGAAGGACCCACAUGGAUCACAGAGUCCAGCUCCUGUGUGCAUCAAGCCUGGAUCUGCUUCAGGAUGCUCUCCCUCUGCACCCUCGGAGAACUUCCAGGCUUUGGAGCUUGGCUUUACUCUUAGCAGACAGGUUCCGGAGGCAGCCUGGGAAAACACAACCUGGAGAAUGAGUUGUUUUGGGGAGAGAAUGGGUUUUGCCAGGAUUUAUGUUACCUUUAUGGAGACACAAGGAAUUCUUCUGACAAUUUAAGUCCCUGCGCUGAAUCUGAUGGACUCCAAGGACAGCCCUGGAACAGCCCGGCUCGUUCCCUUGGAUAAUUGCAAUUGGAGUUUUCUCUGCUCAGGAGAAGCCAGAGGUCAGCGGUGAAAUGCUGGGUUGAAGGUGUUGGAAGCUGCCAGAGCCACUGAUUCCAAUUUGUGUUUCUCCAUCUGCAUGGAAAAUCCAUCUGCUUGCAGAAAUUGUAUUUACACAGCCCAUAAUCCUGAGCAGCCUCAGAUAUUGGGGAUUGAGGCUCUAACGACAUUGGAAACCAUUUUUAUUAAGAGGCAGAAAUUGAAUUAGCCUUUCACUUCACUGUGAAGUGCCCAGCAUUCUCAGCUAGGGCACUCUGCAGGGGAGAAAAUGUCCUCAGCUUCCUACAAAAAUGAGGUACAAAAGGGAAUUUGCCUCGUGUGGUGGAGCCAAGGCCCAGCCUGCAUAUCUGAGCUGUCUCAGUCUAGUUCCCUGAUCAAAAUUCAAAGCUGGAGUGAAUUUUGUGAGCCUGGGAUUUUGUGUUUUAUGUUUGUGACCCCAAAUUCCAGCUCCGAGGUUGACUUUUCCUAUUCCUCACAAAACUGAAUUUUGCAUCCCUGCUGCGUGACUGCACUGGGGCUGUGGCCUCAGACACAUCAUUCCUGCUCCAGCAUCCACCCCAGCAGCCACCUGUGGGACAGGAGAUCCCUGGAAUAGAAAACCCACAGGCAGGAACCGGAAAUGCUGAAGACAACCUGGAAACCAGGCAAAGCCAGAUUUGCACCAAAAAGCAUUCAAUCAACAGCCAGGAAGAAGGAAUUUCAUGUCCUCUGUAAAAAUCUUCAGUUUUCCAUGCCUGAAUUUCAGCCUCCACAGCUCAGCAUGCCCCACAGACUCCCUUAGUCACAGCCAUGGAAAUAUUCUCCAAGACCCUGGAAAGCUCCUGGCUCUUGGAUUUUCCUGCUCUGGAAUUGCUCCAAUGUCCAGGCUCUGCUUAGUCCAGCUUAAAGUGGCUUCUCUCCACAAUUUUUACCAAAAAAACCAAGGGAGAAAAUGCACAUAAUUCCAGGGUGUGAAAGGGAUGAAGGCACAUAACAGGCAAGAAGAGUUCCUGGUGUUGCAGAAACAGGAGAAACAACGAUGGAAUAAUUGUGGGGUGGUUUGUGGAGAAGGGGACAACGCGACGAGGCAGAGGAAGUGUUUUGGCUUCAGCAUCAGCUCAUCCCAAGAUUCCCUGACACGUGGACAAGGCUUUGCCCUAGUGUCUGCAGGAAUGAAAUCCACCACAGGCUGACCUUGGAAACCAGAGGGAAAUAAAACAACCCACCAACCCACCCCAACUUCUUCCUGUUUUCCAAACACAGAAUUCCGUGGCUGGGUGGAGUUGCACACUGAUAUCAGGCAUCCCUCCUGAAUGAACCAUCUGGAGAACCUUGGAGCAGCAGUCCCAUGUGCCUGUGCUGUUUGCAGGACGCUCAGGGUGCAUUUUGGGGGUGUUUUCAUUUCCCAGUCGUUGUUGCAGUUUGUUUCCUUGGAUUUAAGAGGACGUCUAGAAACCAGCUCGGUCUGAUUGCAGCGCAGCAAUAAACAGGAUAAGUAAUUAACUCCAGGCAAUUUCCUCCGCCAUUUAUUUGCUGCAGCCAUCUCUCCUCUCCAAAGGGGAGGGGAAAAAAUAAAAAAGUCUUGUUUUCCAGGUCAUUUGGAGCACGUUUGCAGUGGGAAUUUUCUCUCCUCUCCAUUCUCUUUUCCCAGCCCCUGUGCCUCAGGAAGCAGUGGACAAUUGCCAGCCCACACCAGCUUUGAGGUGCCCUCAUCCACCUUCAUUUAAUCCCUUGGAUCCUUGUGAGUUCCAUGGGAAUCUGAGAUUUAUGGAGACCAGCAGCCAAGUCAAAGCUGGGAAAAGAGAGAGGUUUGUGGGCAGAUGGCAAAACUUGCUUCAUUUUCCAGGGUGGGAAUAAUUCCAGGGACAAGUGUAAAAAACCCUGCAGUAGUUUCAGCUCCUCACUGUCAUCACCCUCCCCCUCAUCCCCGCCUGGGCUUUGUGGCACAAACCAAAGCCAAGGACCUGGCUGGGAGUCCAGAGUGUGACAGUGAGAUCAGUCCUUGUGAUCCCAGACAGGGAGAGGAGGCCAUUGCCCAUUCCAGGGGGCUCUUUUCCAGCUCCUGAAAAAAGGAGGAAUAAACCCUCCAGGAAUGGCAGAGACAAUGAAGUUUCACAGCACAGGGAAGGAAAUUCGUUGCAGUAUUUAUUUUGCCACCCAGGCUGUCACUAGCAGGUGGUGCUGGGCACCAGGGGGUCCAGGAGCAGCGCUGCUGUUGGGAUCUGGGCUGCACAGUUCCCAAAUUCACAAUUCCCAUCCUUUAUGGCUCCCUUGGGCACGCCUGGUUAUGCACCUCUCAGCAGCUCUGCAGCCUGGAGCUGGGCUGUGCCUGGGAAAGGUUCAGGGAAUGCAGGCAGGCUGCUCGUGGGGGGGUUCCAAGGCUGGGGAUCGGAUAUUCCAUGGGCUCCAUUCCCAAAAUCAGCCAGGCAGGCUGCUCGUG